rnacentral:tRNA from 1 species
CGACACGUAGCUCAAUGGUUAGAGCAUCGGUCUUAUAUGCUGCAGGUUGAGGGUUCAACCCCCUCCGAGACCA